UACGAAGGGGGCUAGCGUUGUUCGGAUUAACUGGGCGUAAAGGGUGCGUAGGCGGGGUUUUAAGUCAGGGGUGAAAUGCCGAGGCUCAACUUCGGAACUGCCUUUGAUACUGGAACUCUUGAGUCUGGGAGAGGUGAGUGGAACUGCGAGUGUAGAGGUGAAAUUCGUAGAUAUUCGCAAGAACACCAGUGGCGAAGGCGGCUCACUGGCCCGGUACUGACGCUGAGGUGCGAAAGCGUGGGGAGCCAAACAGG
rnacentral:rRNA from 1 species